CAAAGCUUAAAUUAUAUAAAAAAAGAAGAUCUCCAAUAAGUUCAAACAGACAAAAAUGAAAAUUCGCCAAGAACAAAAAUCCCUAUAACGAAGAGAAACUCAAACCUAAGCUGUAAGAACCACCGCGCCGCCAGCCUCCUUAAUCUUCUUCUCGGCGAUCUUGGACACAAGCUUGGCCUUCACCACAAUAGGCUGAUUCUCCGGCAAGACACCCUUGCCCAAAACCUUGAAAUAACCGAACUGCGUGACAUCAACCAAUGGAACGUUGUCUUUGGAGGCCUUAUCCUUCACUUCUUGAGGG
rnacentral:misc_RNA from 1 species